GAUGAACGCUAGCUACAGGCUUAACACAUGCAAGUCGAGGGGAAACGACAUCGAAAGCUUGCUUUUGAUGGGCGUCGACCGGCGCACGGGUGAGUAACGCGUAUCCAACCUGCCCAUCACUUGGGGAUAACCUUGCGAAAGUAAGACUAAUACCCAAUGACGUCUCUAGAAGACAUCUGAAAGAGAUUAAAGAUUUAUCGGUGAUGGAUGGGGAUGCGUCUGAUUAGCUUGUUGGCGGGGUAACGGCCCACCAAGGCGACGAUCAGUAGGGGUUCUGAGAGGAAGGUCCCCCCACAUUGGAACUGAGACACGGUCCAAACUCCUACGGGAGGCAGCAGUGAGGAAUAUUGGUCAAUGGGCGAGAGCCUGAACCAGCCAAGUAGCGUGCAGGAUGACGGCCCUAUGGGUUGUAAACUGCUUUUAUAAGGGAAUAAAGUGAGUCUCGUGAGACUUUUUGCAUGUACCUUAUGAAUAAGGACCGGCUAAUUCCGUGCCAGCAGCCGACGG
rnacentral:rRNA from 1 species